rnacentral:rRNA from 1 species
UACGGAGGGUGCGAGCGUUAUCCGGAAUUACUGGGCUUAAAGGGUGCGUAGGCGGCUUUGUAAGUCAGGAGUGAAAGUUUGCGGCUCAACCGUAAAAUUGCUUUUGAUACUGCAAGGCUAGAAUCAGGAUGAGGUUAGCGGAAUGUGGCAUGUAGCGGUGAAAUGCAUAGAUAUGCCAUAGAACACCAAUUGCGAAGGCAGCUGGCUAGACCUGUAUUGACGCUGAGGCACGAAAGCGUGGGGAGCGAACAGG